AAGUCGUAACAAGGUUUCCGUAGGUGAACCUGCGGAAGGAUCAUUACAAAAUAUGCUGUGGCUGUAGUGGAGUAGGAUGCGAAAGCUAACGAAUCCCUCAGUUACUUAGGCCCACUCCCGAAAGGGAGAUGGACAGCACGCAUUGACUUCUGUUAGUGUGUGUGACAUAGACUUUAAAUCAUGACUUAUUUCAUUAUUAAAUAACCAAAA
rnacentral:misc_RNA from 1 species